CCCCUCCUGCAGGCUGACUCUGAAGUACCAUCACUGCUGGUGACUUCACAGUGUCCUGCUGUGCAGCAUCUCUCCUCUAUCACGUUGGCUCUCUAUCUCUCCUGUACCUUGUAUCCACUCCUGUCUACAAGUUGGCUCUCUAUCUCUACUGUCACAUCUACCGCUCUGUCUUUUGCAUAUGGCAACUCACACUUUGUGUCCCCCUCUAUCCCACUCUCACGUUGGUAAUCUUUGGCAAUGAAAUGGAACUAACUCUGGAAACCUUUUUCUGAACUGAAUUUUGGACUAAGCUCUGUUGGCUCGACUUGGGUUACCGGUACCUUAUCUAUCUGAUUUGAAUACUCUGAGAGACUCUCUUCUCUCACCCUCACCUCUUACCUCUCCUAUCUACAACUCAUACACUUAUCUCUAGAACAGUUGUUAUAGAAUUGCUGUUUUUACAACUCGGACAAAGCAUACAUACUAUUUCGAGACUUUUUCCCAACACAAUUUGUUAAACAAAACUGAAAGAAACCACUCAUAACUAGGGCUGCAACCAACAAUUAUUUUGAUAAUCGAUUAAUCGGUCGAUUUAUUUCUUUGAUUAAUCGAUGAAUCGGAUUUUUUUUAAAACGGCAUUAAAAAGCUUUAAUU